AGCACUUGUGUAUUUUUGUUUUACUUGUGGAGGAAGACUUAUAGACAGGUGCAAAAAAAAAAUCCUCUUUUGCAAGCCAGAAGUCAUUGUUCAGAAUGAGUUUUGAUACAUGUAAGCAGGAAGGAA